rnacentral:lncRNA from 1 species
AAACAGUUCACGAUCGAAUUUCCCCCUUAUGAACAUGUAGUAAUUGCUCACAACUGUUUGAGUGUUGGAUUAUUAACUACAAGUGAGGAUUUAUACUCAGUUGCUACGCCUAUGCUGUUGCUAAUACCAACAAUCAAGCCAAUUCCCCAAAUACAAUCAUACUAAUCUAAAUAAAUAUCAACUGUCCAAUACAAAACAACCCAGUGUUAUUUACAAACAAGUAUAUUGAAUUUCAUGGAAUUACAUGAACUCUAAUAUGAUAAUUAACAGAAUAAAAACAUGUUGCAACCCAAAUCAUGCCCGCAACUUGGAGAUUACAUGAUGUGUACCUGGUUACAGCAAAUGAACACCUAUGAGUAGGUUUACAGGAAACAAUAACAGCAACAAAUCCACCCAGCAAAUACAAAAGUGAAACCAAACUCAAAACGCAGGAGCAAACAUGGAGUUUUUCUCAAAAUAAACCAGGAUCCACGCAGCUUUAACACAAAUGAUUCCAUGAUAAGUUCAAAAGUGGUUGAUUCUAAUGGAACAAUAGUUUUUGUCCCUUUCUCUUUUUGUGUUUGCAAGUUUUCAAUAGAUUUUCUGACUUGUUUACCAAGUUUUACCACUUAAUCAACUGGAAUUUCACUAUAGACCCUCACUAGAAGCUUCUUAACUUGUUAUAAAAGAUUUCCUAGCCCUCAAAUCCCUAAACUACCCUUCAUUCAAUAUGAAUUUACUAAGAAUGAGCAGUACACAAAUCCCCAAACCCCUUUUUACCCUAGUUAGAAGUGACUAUAGGUAACUAAACACUCAACUAUAUCCAGCCAAUCCUUAAAUUAAAUCAAAACUCUAUAACAUGUGUUGAACCUGAUUUAAAUCUGAAUAAUAAGAGUUCUAAGACCAAACGUAUCAUAAAACAGAAAACAAUCAAUUGAAAACCUGAUUAAAAUCUGAUUAGUAAGAGUUCUAAGGCCAUAUGUAUCAUCAAAAUAGUAAACAAUCAAUUGAAACAAUUUUAAACAAAAUGACAUGCCAUAUGGAAUCAGUAACAGCAUAAUAACCUAAAUUAACCCUCAACCGUUCAAUUUAAACCACUCAAACAUACUGCUGAUGAAUCAACACAAAAUGACUUAGGAAAACAACAAUCAAGCUUGAUUAAUCAUAACUCAAAAUUUAGAAGUCCGGUUACUAAAGGAGAAGCAAGCAGAUAAUCAAUGAUGAUUAAGAAUUGAAAUUAAACAAAUAAACAGGAAUCUGAAUAAACCUACCCCAAAAUUCUAAAUGAAAACUAACAAAGGGUAACUAAGAUCCCUAACAACUCAUGCAAGAACAAACACAAAAAAAUACAGCAGCAAGACGAAGGAACAGGAAAUUGAAAUUAAGGGUACUUAGCUUAAUGAUAUCAUGCAAUCUAAAAAUACAGCACCAAGAUGAAAGAACAAGAAAUCGAAUUUAAGGAGACUUAGCUUAAUGACAACAUGCAAUCUGAACUCGGGACUAAACAGACUACAACUGUCCUUAUUAUGUGUUUCCCUAAGAAAACACCAGAUUAAAGAUAGUCGCAAUCCAAGACCCAUGAACCUCUGAAUGUCUAGGGUUUUAGGCCAACCGUCGACUUGAAAUUUGGGGAGAUCCAUUGACAUUUGAGGGAUAGUGAUUAGGGGUUUAGGAAGAGGAGGGUGAGGACAAUACAGGGUGUGAAUUUGGUUGGAUUUGGAAGGGUUAGGUUUUUAACCGGGGUCUUUGAUUUGAUAUUCGAAUUGCUUGGUUGGGAUUUGAAGGAAAAGGGAUUUGGAUUUGGAAAGGGGGAGGGGAGAGGAAGCCAUGGUGUAUAUUUGAUGGCCAUCGGAGCCGACGCCACCGUGGAUGGCAGAACAACCACCCUUUUGAUCAAAGAUUCGAGAAUAAGGGUUGUGAUUUGAGGACUGGACUUGGGGGAUUGGAAAGAGGAGGAGGAGAAGGGGAUUCUAGAGUGUAAAUCUGGGGUUGAUUGGAGCAUCGUCGCCACUGGCGACGAUUCCCGGCCAGCUGAGGAUGGCGGAGGGAUGGUGCCUUUUAGGGUAGUGUUACACUGGCUCAUUUUAGGGUUAAUGGAGACAUGGUACGAGGUUGAUUCUGGGGGUGGGGUAUUUGGAACACUUAUAUAAGCGUUACAUCCUCACUCUUCGGCCGUCCGAUCAAAACAAAUCGACGGCUCAGAUCAUGAGGCCAUUUUAAUUGGGUGUAGUAGACCGGGUUAGGGAAGCUUGGGUCGGGCUAUUGGGUUUGGACAGGUAUUUGCACGGGCCUUGGGUUUAGGCUGGUUAUUUGUGCCUAAAAUUGGCCCAGACCAGGCAUGCGCUUCUUUCUUUCAUUUCAUUUAUUUUAUUUGUUUUUAUCCCUUUUUCUCUUUUUAUCUAAUUAAUCCUCUUUUUGUUUUAAGUACAAAAAUUAAAAUAGACAAGACCAAAUUUAAAUUCUACAACCAAAACUAAUUAAUUUCUAAAAAUAAUCUAAAUCCCAAUUUUAAAAAGAAAAUUAAAAAAAUGUAAAAACUGACCAUUUUUAUUAUUUUCUCUUAUUUUGGUAAUAUUAAUCAACUAAUAAACCUAAGCAAAUAUAAAAUUGGGUUCUAAAUGCAAAUAUGUUAUUUUUAUAUUUUUUAUUUAUUAUAUCAAUUUAAAAUGCACAAAAAUGCAAACAAACACAAAAUCAUGCAGUUAAUUCCAAAAAACGCAAAUAAUAAAAGAAAAAUCCUAAUUUUAGCGAAUUCUAUAGGAAUAUUUCAAACAAGGCAAAAAUAACAUGCUCACAAAGUUCGAAAUUUUGGUUCACUUAAGAGAGCGGGCUUAACUGUUGCGGGGAUGAAUGCAAAAUUUGAAGAAGAUUUACAGCACUAGAUGAUCUGUGUUUUCACAAACUUAUAAAUGAUUUGAGUUUAAUCUCACUAUGGUAUUGUGUCAUCAAUAGAGUUAAAGUGUUAUGAGUUAUUGAAUGUAUCUUGAUCUAUGGCUUCGAGCCAAGUGGGGGGUCUGCUGUGAGCAGUUGAUUGCACAGUUAGGUGCUGUGUAGGUUCUAGUUUGGGGCGUGCAAGUGAAUUAGCUAUGGCUAGAGUAAAUAAAAAUUUUGGACGAAGGUUAUAUUAUGCAUCAUAGGGUAUAAUAAUCACGGAAUGUAGAGAGUUGUUGUUGGUAAAGAAUGCUCAUUGCAUAGAGCAAGAAGUUACUUGGUUGUAUUGGGGUGAGGAUUUCAUUUUGCGGUGCCAGAGUUCCGAUAAGGCACGGGUGGUUCUGUUCGUUAGGCCAGGUAAAUUUCAGCUGAAUAAGAGUGAAUGACUCUCAAGAAUGGCUCUAAUAUGUUCAAUAUCCUACAGGGGACAAUCGGGUAUCCUAAGGUUAUACAUGUGGUUAGAAACUGUGCUUUCAUUAGAAGAGCUUAAGAGUUGUGGUAGGUCUAUGUUAAUUAUGUGAUUCUAUGUAUCAGUAUCAAGAAGACAGAGGUAACGGAUUCAGAUUCGCAGGAAGUUCUUCAGAGUAAAGUAUUCUAGGAUGUGGUGUUUCUGAGAAUGAUUGAGAGAGUAUUCAGCGGCUAUGGAUCUCAGAUAGUGUGGUUGUAUGAUUGAGUCUCGUGUGGUGAGUUUGGGGUGAGAAAUUGUGGUGCUACAACAAGAGGGAAUAUCAAGUUGAAGGUAAAUAAAAAGGAAAAUUAGAUAGCUGGAGUAGCUUGAUAGUAGCCUGGACCGGUAUGGUAAGUAUAUGAUUAAUUCCUUGUGCGUGUUCGAGGUGCUGAGUUCUUGCAGGUAUUUUGCAGCAAUGCUUUUAGGUUUUGAUGGCUUGCUUAGCUUGGUCUAAUUAGAAGAAUUCAGUCUUGGCAGGUCUAAUUUGUGCAAAGGGAACUUGGAGAGUUCUUGAUUGUUCUUACCGUGAUUUGGAGAUGUACAUCUUCUAUGAGCAUGCGGAGCAUGGGAUGUAUAGUGAUUUUUCUUCUAGAUAGGACUAAUGGAAGGUUCUAGAUUAGUUGAGUACGUAGAUGUAUAUGGCUCGGAAGGGAUAUGAAGUUCUCAUGUUAUUCUAGGAUGGUUUGGUAUAUGCGGGUUAUUGUGGAGGAUCGAGAUUUGUGUGUGUGAGGUCUCAGUUCGGUCCCGAAAGGAAGUUCAUAAAACUCUUAGGCAGCAGGUAGCCUCAGAUGAUUAAGGAAAUGGUAAUGUUGAUUAGUAGUGUUUUGACGAGAGUAUAUGUUUCAAAAAAGGGGGCAAUAUGAAUAAGUUGAUAGUACUUCGGUGGUACUGUGAUGCUUUCUUGUUAGAUCGACUGCCAAUAUUCGAGUUUGCUUGAUGGCGCGGGGGAAUUUUAGAAUAACUUUUGUGGAAUGAUUUGGGUACUUGAGGUGUGAUAUGUAUUCGGGUGGCAAAAUUUGGGAUCAGGUAUAAUGAUUUGUGUGCUACAUGGAGUUAGAGAUCGGAGGUCCUCAUAUUCAUACUAUGUUAUGGUUGUAGAUCACGUCGGCUCUGUUUAGUGACUAUCGGGGUUUGGAGGCUUGAGCGGACCUUUUGUUGCUUGGGAUACUAGAACUUGGAUGUGAUAUUGGGUUUAGACUGGUUGUUUUUGUGUUGCGUUAUCCUAGACUAUUGCGAUAAGACAACAUUGUUGGCUGUGCCGGGAAAUGCCACAUAUUGGGUGGCGAUGUUCAACAGAUUAUGUCCUACUAGGGAUUUUUAAAUUUCGAAGACCCAACGGAUGGCUGGGAAGGAUUCUUACUUGGGCUCUGUGACGAGUGUCAGUGCUAAGGCCCCUAAUAUUGAUUCAGUUCCUGUGUAAAGGGACUUUUCGGACGUGUUUCUUAUGGCCGGGCAUGUCACCGGGCGAGGUUAUGGAUUUUGGUAUUGACUUGGUGCCGGGUACCAUGUCAUAUGGCAUCGGCAGGAGUUAUAAUAGUGGAAGGAACAACUUCGGGAUUUCCUUGAUAAAAGUGUUCAUCAUUAGGCCAAUGUGGAUGCGUGUUCUAGCCUAAGUCAGCUUGGUUGGCCCCAAGUUGUAUUGUUGGGGAAUAGGUUGAUUCAAUCAUUAUUGAGCUUACUAGGGAUCUGGGAGAUCUAUGAGUGGCCUCUCCGUGUUGCGAGACAUUGUGAUUGGUUGGUUAUGGGCACAUAUGGUGCGGUUCUAUUGGGGCUCAUAGUAGAAGUCCAGUUGGGAAAGUAAUUGGGUGUUGCUCAUAUCGGUUAUGUCCUAUCAGGUCUGCGCGAUAUAUGUUACUUGUUUCACCGUGGGUGUAGUGAUUUGCUUUGGUUCUAGGCAUCAAAUUGUGCGCGAUUGUCAAUUUCAAGCAUAGUGACUUGAGGUGUUUCAUGUGGAACAAUGUUUAUAUAGGAUCGCGCAUUUGCAACGAAGCUAUGGGGAGAUGUGACCAGGGGGGUUAGGUUCAUGUGUCCUAUUUCUAUGAUGCGAUACGGGUCCUCAACGUGUGUUGUGAUGAUACUGGUGAGCUUGAGGUACAGUUCUUUCAUUUGAGUCAGUUUCAUGAUGUGAGUAUGUUCGGAUUGUAGCUUAUUGGUGCGCGAGUUGUGCACGUUGUGGCCUUAGCCUGUCUUGGUGUGUCAUAUCACCAGAGUAAUUGUGUUGGAUUAGAUAAGGUCAUUGGGGUCUGUAAUGAAUACAAACAGAUUCGAUUUUAGCAUGUUUGAUGGAUAAAUAUCGAGGUUCAAUUUAGAAAUUUGCUAUGGUCCUUGACAAAGGAGAAGUAACCUUAUGGAUGGAUGAUAUGAGAAAUGGUUAUGAUUUAUUGCAUGUUUCAUUUGUCGUUGGCAGUAUAUGGAAGUGUUGGAAUAAGACUUUAGUUGAUAAGAGGUUUUCUACCGGUGUUCGGGUGUUGUGUCCAGCUACUGUGAAUGGAAGUUAUCACUAAAUGUGUUUGAGUUAUGUGGUAUAUCAGAUAAUUGCACUUGAAGUUGCAUGCAGGGGUUAUUACAGCUGGUUAGGGUCUAUUUAGAGUAUACGUGUGAGGUUUUAAUCGUAUUGAUGGUUUCAGAAGUGAAAAUGUGGUUUUAUGAUUUAUGGGAUAGACUGGAUUGUGUAAUUUUAGUUAAGAGGUGUUAUCAGACCUAUAUGAGAUAGGGUAACAUGGGACCAACCCCGGGUAUAUGCAUGUUAGCGAUUGGUUGUCUUAUAGAACAACUUUGGGUACGUUCGAGGACGAACAUGUGUUUGAGUGGGGGAGGAUGUAACGACCCUACCGGUCGUUUUGAGACUUUACACCAUGAUCGCCAGUUCUUAGGCAUUACUUUCAUCGUAUAAUGUAUUAUGACUGAUGUAGAUCGUUGAUUUUGGUUUUCAGGAAAACCGGAAUGAAUUUGAACGAAACAGUCUCAACUAAAAGCUUUGAAUUUGAAAGGUUUGACCAAGGGUUGACUUAUUUGUAUAUGAGCUCAGAUCAUAAUUUUUAUGAUUUGGUUAGCUUUGUUGGGUGAUUUAUGACUUGGGAGCAUGAUCGAAAUGCAUUUUGGAAGUCCGUAGAAGGUUUAGGCUUAAAUUGGCGAAAGUGAGAUUUCAGUGUUUUCCGGUUGAUAGGUGAGAUUUUGUUAUAGAGGUCAGAAUGGAAUUACGAGAGCUGCAGUAACUUUGUUAUGUCAUUUGGGAUGUGUGCGCAAAAUUUCAGGUCAUUCGGACAUGGUUUGGUUGGUUUUUUGAUCGAAAGAGUAUGUCAGAAGCUUUUAGAAAACUUAGGCUUGAAUUCGAUGAGUUUUGGGUAAUUCGAUGUUGUUUGAGGUGUUUUGAUAAUUGGAACAAGUUUGAAUGAUUUUGUGGGAUAUUUUGGCAUGUUUUGUUGAGGUCCCGAGGGCCUCGGUUAACUUUCGAGUGGUUAAAUGGACCUUUUUGGACUUGGAGAAUUGCAGAAAUUUCUACUGGUGUUCAGUUCAAAUGUUCUUUUAUGCGAUCGCGUGGUUAUGAAUGCGAUCUCAUAGGGCUAUUUGGGUGAGCAUGAUUUUGUUCUACGUGAUCGUGUAUAAGGGAUUGUGAUCGCAUAGGCUUGUGUGGUGUGCCUUUACGAUCACGUGAGUGUGUUUGAGAUCGCAGUGAGCUAAAGGAGUAGAGCAUCGCGUGGCGUUAAUUGCGAUCGCAUAGACUAAUUUUGCGGGUGCUGAGUUUUGUGCAUCGCGAUCGCAUGGUUUUCUCUGCGAUCGUAGAGAAGAGAAUGAGGCCUGGGCAGAAUGCUUUUAAAGUCGUCUUGUUCGCGAAAGUGGGUUUUUCACCCAUAGCUGCUCAUUUUGAAGGAUUUUUUUAUGGUGAGUGAUGAGAGAUUCAAGGGGAAACGUUUGUAGGUAAGUUUCUUGAACUUAAAACUCGAUUAUCGUGCGAAUUCCACCUAGAAAUUCAUGAAAACUAAGCCUAACAUUGAAGAGUUAGGGCUUGAGAAAAUGAUUAUUUAAAUUGGGAUUUGACGGACCAUUUGAGGUCGGAUUUUAGAACUUUUGGUAUGUAUGAACUCUUGGGAGGAUAAGGAACCCGUAGAUGUGAAAAUUUUUGAGUUUCGAGAAGUGGGCCUAUGGGUCAGGUUUUGGUAAUUUCGAGAUUUUCCCCUUUAUUGAUUAUUUUUGCUUGGGUUUGUCCCCUUAGCAUAUUGUGAUGUAUUCGUUUUAAUUUUGGAUAGAUUUGAUGCGCGUGGAGGCCGAUUAAAGGGGCAAAGGCGUCGCGAGCCAGAGAUUUUGCCAGUUCGAGGUGAGUAAUAAUUGUAAGUGAUAUCCGAAGGAUUUAAAACCCUGGAUUGCACAUCGUAGUGCUAUAUUGAGGUAAGGCACGCGCUAGAUGAUGAGCGCAUGGUAGUUUACUACUGGGGAUUGUGACUUGUCCGUCUCGAUUGAUGAUUUUACCGCAUAUUUGACUGGAACUUAUUUGUUAUCAUCAUGAUUUGAGUUGACUUCCAUAUUUGGGCUUCGGGCAAAUUCACCCUUCGGGGAUCUUUAUCACUAUUUCCUCACUGUUUUGUUUUAUUACUUGAACUCAGUCCUGUUGAUAUCUCUAUUUUACAAACUCAAUCACUUUUACUCGGAUUUGAAACUUAAAUGAUAUUUCUAAAUGAUUUUUGGGCUGAGAACUACUGAUUUACUAAUGCCCGAGGGGCUUGUGAUGAUUUUUGGACUGAGUGAGGCCGAGGGUCAUAUGUGAGGAUAUGCUGAGUGAUAUGAGACCAAGGGCCUGAGAUACAUUUAUAUGCCACGAGGUGACUUGAGUGAUGAGAGGCUGAGUGCUAAGUGAUGAUGCCACGAGGUGGCUUGAUAUAGCGCUUGGGCCAUAAGGGGCCCCUCCAGAGUCUCCCAUUAUUAUGUGAGUGAGCCCGAGGGGCUGUUAUGAGUGAUUGUGAGGUAGCCCGAGGGGCUGAAUUAUUCUAAGAGUGAGCCCGAGGGGCUGAUAUGAGAGAUUGUGAGGUAGCCCGAGGGGCUGAUACUAUUCUGAGAGUGAGACCAAGGGGCUGAUAUGAGUGAUUGUGAGGAAGCCCAAUGGGGUGGUACUGUUCUGAGAUAUUGCCCGAGGGGCAAACUUUUAUGUGUUCAUCUUUCAUAUUUACUUGUCAUUUUACAUGUUAUACUGUGGUAUUUGUUCCCGAGGGGCAGAUUUUCAGUGCUUAUCGGCACUAACUAUUUUGCAAUCAUUGUGUAAUUGUUGAGAAAGAUAUUUUCAAAAGAGGUUUGAACUGAGUUAAGAUAUUUCUAAAGAUUUCACAGCUUCACUGCUUUUCUCAAAGGGUUUUAUAUUGCUUCUAUAUAGCAUGUCGGUUUGCUUUACGUGAUUUCUUGCUGCUCAGUUGUUAUUUACCUUUAUUACUUCACUGAGUUGGAGUACUCACUUUAAUCUAUGCACCUCGUGUGCAGAUGGAGGUAAUUGUUCACGCAGUAGCGGGUUUAGCUUCUUGGAAACAGAGCUAUAGGAGUUUAGCAAGGUAGCUGCCAGUGUUCGCAGCACCGUUUCUUUCUUUCUCUUGUUCAUUAUUCAUGUUCAGUGUAUUUUUAGACCUUGUAGUCAUAUUUACUCUCUAAUAGAUACUCGUGACUUGUGACACCCCGAUUAGGGCUGUGUUGGGUUGUACUUUCGCUAGUUAAUAUCAUUAAAUCACCUUUAAUCUGCUUAAAAGAGGUGUUAUGUCAUGGUUUGACUGGCCUUGUCUUCACGAGAUGUGCCAUCACGACCAGGUAUGGGUCUAGGGUCGUGACAUUUAAUCAAACAGAUUCAAGCAAACUGUAACUAAAUCCAACAGAGAGAGAAUGAACCUUUUUAUUUGAGCCACUUUCAAGUUUUACAGCAAGAUAGAAUCGGCAUAUUAGCAAAGUCGAAAUUCAACGCCUCGGCUGGAUAUCAAUGACCUUGAAUGGGAACCCCACCAAGCAGAAUCAACCUCGACCUCUUCGAGUUAGUAUUUGGAGUUAUUUUUUUAGCAUAGAUCGGGUAUUUCCGUGAGCUUAUUUUUGGUGCCUAUUUUGUUGCAUUUUGGAAGGUGUUCUAUGGAGUUUUUGGUUAUCUAUGGAGGCAUAGUGGAUUAUUUUUUAUGUGAGGUUUUGGACUGAUUUUCUGUUAUGUAUUGAGCUUGGUUUCCAAUUGAUUUCUGGCUUAACAUUUGGUGAUGGAACUAGUUUUGUUAUGGUUGUUU